CACAACACAUCUAUUUCUACAACACUUACAUAUCUAUCUAUAUGUAUAUAUAGUCCUCAUGGGAAGGAAAGGAGUCAUAUUCUUCAUUGAAACAAGCCUAGCUCUCUCUUGGUAUCAAUCAGUUAAUAAAUAAAUCCCUUCUGCUACCUCAUACGCCGGCAGCAAUUUAAGUACUAUGCAACCCCAGUACUUGUUUUUUCCGUGCUGUUUUCGAUUCAUAGUCUUAGCUACAAAGAAUGUUGGUUGAUAACCAAGUUCUACUCAAGAGAGCAGCAGCAUGAGAGCAGCAAUGAGGAAGCAUACGAGAUAUUGGUGCGGUUCAAUUAGAAAGCUGUGCUCCAUGGUUAUAGAGCUCGGUCAUUUUGAUUGAGCCGUGCCAAUAUCACGUAUAUAUAUAUAUAUAUACACACACAAUACUACCACAGGUGUAUAUGUCCAUGAAAAUCCAAAAUCAGGUGCAUCAAUCUUCUUUGAUUUUGUUUCUUUUCAUUCUGCUACCUCACUGUGUUUUUAUUUCUCUAUUUUUCUUUGGGAAUACACAAAGAUGGAACAUGUAUGCCCCUCACAAUCAGAUCCAUGGACAAACAGGAAAAACACUGGGGAUGUGGUGGAAAAGGAAGGAGAAGAAGUCCAUUUCACACAGCAUUUAAUUACUUGCCUCUACCUAAAGCUAUCCUACUUUUUUGACCAAGCAUUGUUGGUAGGUGGAACACUCCAUCUUUUCUACCCCAUCAUUUAAUGUCAUUUCAAAGAAGCAAACAACAGUUUCCAAGUUGAAGUAUAGCUCUAUCAUAUUCUUGUUUCAAACCCCACAAUUAAAUAAUUUAGCCAAUAGUAAAGCUUUGUGAGUAUAACCACCGUUUAUGUAUUCUAAUCAGAGUCAUGUAUGACCCUGUGUGUAUGACCUAUCUUAGGUAGCUUCUAGAUGUAGGCUUACGUUAUAUUUUCCUUGAUUUGCACAAGAUAUGACAACAUUAGAUACAUAUAUAAUAAGUAAAGGUGAAUGAAACAUAUAAGAAGCAAGGGAAAAGAUAUCCUUAUCUGAGUGGAAAGAUGAUGUGUUAGUCUUGAGGCUCCACUUAUGAGACAUCAUCAUCAAUGUCCUGUGCCCAAACAAUCUCUUGAGUUUUAGUGUUGCUGAUCCAUGACCAAACACGAUAGCCCCAUUUGCCUAACACUUUUAAUAACCACUCGAAAGCAACAGUUGCAAAAAGAAGAAUCUUUAUUAGAUGCUUUAAACUGGAAUUGUAAUAAUUCCAUGGAUAAUUUCCCCUUGCAGUUGGUCGUUGAGAUUUUUUCCCUGCUUUGAUGGUGUGAAUCUGUUGCUUCUCCACUGAUGAAAUGCUUAGGCAUUACUGCUCACAGACUGCAGUAGAAAUGUUGCAUAAGGUGAAAAUAGAUAUUAUUGAUGCAGGGGAAUGGUAACAAGUGAAAAAGGAUUCUGCACUGCAGUUCAACAAGAAGUUAUCCAAUUCAAGCUUUCUAUUGGGAAAUUUUAUUACCCUGUUGUACCAAAUAGACAAACUGUAGAAAAGGAAAAAGGACUUGUUAUAUCACAAAGAAAUUCUCCAGCCAGAAGAGUGGCAGUGGCCACCAGGUUGAUUGAGAGGUUCAAAAUCACAAACAUAUUGAGAUAUUCUUUCACCAAUUUCUGCAUUUCAAACACAUAUUCUUGGAGUCAGGGUUGAACAUCUAGGUAAAA